UUCGUCCUCGCCGGCGACCGGCGCACGGGUGAGUAACACGUAUGCAACCUGCCCCUGUCAGGGGGACAACCCGCCGAAAGGCGGGCUAAACCCGCGUACAUGCCACCGGGGCAUCCCGGAGGCAGGAAAGGCUUCGGCCGGACAGGGAUGGGCAUGCGGCGCAUUAGGCAGUAGGCGGGGUAACGGCCCACCUAACCGACGAUGCGUAGGGGUUCUGAGAGGAAGGUCCCCCACACUGGUACUGAGACACGGACCAGACUCCUACGGGAGGCAGCAG
rnacentral:rRNA from 1 species